rnacentral:rRNA from 1 species
GACGAACGCUGGCGGCGUGCCUAAUACAUGCAAGUAGAACGCUGAAGCUUGGUGCUUGCACCGAGCGGAUGAGUUGCGAACGGGUGAGUAACGCGUAGGUAACCUGCCUGGUAGCGGGGGAUAACUAUUGGAAACGAUAGCUAAUACCGCAUAAUAGUAGAUGUUGCAUGACAUUUGCUUAAAAGGUGCAAUUGCAUCACUACCAGAUGGACCUGCGUUGUAUUAGCUAGUUGGUGAGGUAACGGCUCACCAAGGCAACGAUACAUAGCCGACCUGAGAGGGUGAUCGGCCACACUGGGACUGAGACACGGCCCAGACUCCUACGGGAGGCAGCAGUAGGGAAUCUUCGGCAAUGGACGGAAGUCUGACCGAGCAACGCCGCGUGAGUGAAGAAGGUUUUCGGAUCGUAAAGCUCUGUUGUAAGAGAAGAACGAGUGUGAGAGUGGAAAGUUCACACUGUGACGGUAUCUUACCAGAAAGGGACGGCUAACUACGUG